rnacentral:rRNA from 1 species
GAUAAACGCUAGCGGCAGGCUUAACACAUGCAAGUCGAGGGGCAGCAUAGAUUGUAGCAAUACAAUUGGUGGCGACCGGCGCACGGGUGCGUAACGCGUAUGCAACCUACCCGUCACAGGGGGAUAAUCCGGAGAAAUCUGGUCUAAUACCCCAUAACAUAUGGAUCGGCAUCGGUUCAUGUUGAAAUUUUCGGAGGUGACGGAUGGGCAUGCGUAGCAUUAGCUUGUUGGUGAGGUAACGGCUCACCAAGGCGACGAUGCUUAGGGGGACUGAGAGGUUGUCCCCCCACACUGGUACUGAGACACGGACCAGACUCCGACGGGAGGCAGCAGUGAGGAAUAUUGGUCAAUGGGCGCAAGCCUGAACCAGCCAUGCCGCGUGCAGGAUGACGGCUCUAUGAGUUGUAAACUGCUUUUGUACGAGGGUAAAGUGGGUUACGUGUAACCUUUUGAAAGUAUCGUACGAAUAAGGAUCGGCUAACUCCGUGCCAGCCGCCGCAGUAA